AUUGAACGCUGGCGGCAGGCCUAACACAUGCAAGUCGAACGAGUGGCGGACGGGUGAGUAAUGUCUGGGAAACUGCCUGAUGGAGGGGGAUAACUACUGGAAACGGUAGCUAAUACCGCAUACCAUCAGAUGUGCCCAGCUGGGAUUAGCUUGUUGGUGGGGUAACGGCUCACAAGGGCGACGAUCCCUAGCUGGUCUGAGAGGCUGAACAGCCAGCCUGGAACUGAGACACGGUCCAGACGCCUACGGGAGGCAGCAGUGGGGAAUAGGGCACAAGGGGGGCAAGCCUGAUGCAGCCAUGCCGCGUGUAUGAAGAAGGCCUUCGGGUUGUAAAGUACGUUCAGCGGGGAGGCGUUACCCGCAGAAGAAGCACCGGCUAACUCCGGGCCAGCAGCCGCGGUAAUUC
rnacentral:rRNA from 1 species